rnacentral:rRNA from 1 species
CCUACGGGUGGCAGCAGUGGGGAAUAUUGGACAAUGGGGGAACCCUGAUCCAGCCAUGCCGCGUGUGUGAAGAAGGCCCUCGGGUUGUAAAGCACUUUCAGUGAGGAAGAACGCCUGGUGGUUAAUACCCAUCAGGAAAGACAUCACUCACAGAAGAAGCACCGGCUAACUCCGUGCCAGCAGCCGCGGUAAUACGGAGGGUGCGAGCGUUAAUCGGAAUUACUGGGCGUAAAGCGCGCGUAGGUGGCUUGAUAAGCCGGUUGUGAAAGCCCCGGGCUCAACCUGGGAACGGCAUCCGGAACUGUCAAGCUAGAGUGCAGGAGAGGAAGGUAGAAUUCCCGGUGUAGCGGUGAAAUGCGUAGAGAUCGGGAGGAAUACCAGUGGCGAAGGCGGCCUUCUGGACUGACACUGACACUGAGGUGCGAAAGCGUGGGUAGCAAACAGGAUUAGAUACCCGAGUAGUC